CGGAGCUGCUCUCUAUAUCCAGAGCCUCAGAGUCGCUCUGACACCAUUCACUCCAGAGUCCCACGCAGCCAAGGAACUCCGCAGACUGCUGCGAGACAGGCUCUGGAUAGCACAGCACGGACAACGUUCCCCAGUGUGAUUUUCUCCUCGUUUGGAUUAUAAAUAUUUGAUGUAGGACUAUUAAAUACUAAAAAAAAAAAGUCAGCAAAUUAAUCGUGCUAUUGAAUCCUAUGUGACAUUUUCUUGAAAGUAGCCGGGUUUAUUGCAUUUUUCCCCAAAUAUAUAUAUAUUAAACUGGGUUCAAGUUUGAAGCCUGUAGUUUCUUUUAAGAAAGUGAAGGGCAAUGUGCGUCCUGCUUGUCUCUUGGGAUUGUCUCACUUGCGUUUGAGGAGCUAUGUCGAGUCGCAGCAGCAGAGUGUGUUCGGGAGGACGCGAUCCACUGUGAAUAACAAGAAUCAACUUCCAGCCUCUCACAGCUUCAAGCAAGUGCAGCGCGGUGUCUUGACUGAGCACGCUGAGCUGCCUGACACUCCGGGUUUCUCUCCCAGAGGGGAUGGUUGUGGAUCCUCUGGGGCCAGGAGCGACUCUGGGGCUCCUACACGUUCGCACUUUUUCUGAGAUUCGAGUAAAUUCUAAAUUAAAGGGAAAUGAGAGCCACACUUUCCUACAUCCUGCUGUGGACGACGUACCUGCUGGCCACUGCUGAGGAAGUGGAGUUUCCCCAAGAGCUGAUAGACCGACUGUCCCACAGCGAAAUCCACAGCAUCAGCGACCUCCAGCGGCUACUGGAUAUCGACUGGAGAGGUACCGGAAACAAUGUUAUUGAGGAGCCCAAGCACCACAUGCACCACAAGCAACCAAACCACCACAAGAACUCCUCUCAUCAUUAUGGUUACUACGGUGACCUGAAGAGCUCCCAGCUGCACAGCCGACGCAAGAGGAGCAUUGUAGAGGAGGCAGUUCCAGCAGUCUGCAAGACACGGACGGUGAUCUACGAGAUCCCCAGGAGCCAGGUGGAUCCCACGUCUGCCAACUUCCUGAUAUGGCCGCCUUGUGUGGAGGUGAAGCGCUGCACGGGCUGCUGCAACACCAGCAACAUGCGCUGUCACCCUUCCCGCAAACACCACCGCACCGUUAAGGUAGCCAAGGUGGAGUAUGUGAGGAGGAGACCCAAGUUGAAAGAAGUCUUUGUGCGGUUAGAAGACCACCUGGAGUGUGUAUGCACAUCACAUCAUCACGCGGUAGAGCCCUCGGAUCCAGAAGCAGGCCAACGUAGGGCCAAAGGUAAAAAAAGGAAACCUAAAAAGCUAAGACGCACCAAGGGAUUAUUGGUGACUUAAAACAAAAAGUUUCACUCAUUACCCCAAAGUCCACUGGAGAGCUCUGAAGCGAACAGUGGAUGUGAGGUGAGACCAAUCAGAACAAGGGACUUCAGCGUGGGAGGUGCCUAAAUAGAGGAGGCCUCCAAAAAUGACACCUGCUCUGUCCUCUUCCCCGCUGCCGUGCAACCUUCGUCUCAAAAAAACAAAACAAAAUAAACCCCAAACUUUUCUGUAAAGAUGUCAGACUGAAAAAGAGACAGCAGAUAGAAACAACUGAGAUACCAAAGGUGCUUUUGAAAAAGAAAACAGCCGGUGACUUUCUCUGCGGUAAGCCACUUACCUAAAUGGCUGAUUAAGAAGAAAAGAGAGGAUGCUGCGGAUCUCGGGCAGGCCAGGAAAAAGGCCAAAGGGAGACGAUGAAAGGGAUCGAUCGGUGAUGGACAUUUUGACUGGGCGACAGUUGAACAGCUGUUGAACAGUUGGACCACAUCUCGAUGAAAAUCAAGUGCUCCAAUUUAACACAAGUACUCUGACCUGCUUAAAUGAGUCUUGCAUUCACAGGAAAAAAGACAGAGGGAUAUAGGGAAAAAAAUGAUGGAAUGAAAGAGACUCUUUAUGGAGCAUCAAACACUUUGAGUUGACAGAUGUUUGCUCCGAGACCUCUGGUUGUGACUUUGCCCACCUGCUAUGUACAGUUCAAUUUGAAAAGAAAGUAGUCGUUCUUCUUGCAAGCUAUUUAUGUGUGGAUGUUUGCUUUCCAUUAUGAAAGAAAAAAAACAAACGAAAGAAAGAUGUUUCAUCAUGUUUUUGCAAUAGGUCUGGUUCUUUGCAACCAUCAGUAUCACAAUCUCAGUGUAAUUUUGUUUUCUUGUCAGCCAUGUUUCUUAUUAUAUUACAGUAUAUCUGAUUGAUGUCCAGUCUUGUAUAUGGUUUGGAUACAUGUGUGUGAGGAGGAGUUUUUGAGAGUCAGUACAGGAAGAUGCUUUAUUUUUGUUAUGAAAUAUAUUAUGCAUACUUAUAUCCAA